CCUCCUUUGCAACCAUUCUGCUGCAGGGCUGUUUUUUUGACAGCCCCUUGGGGGCUGUAGUAGGGGCAGUUUAAAAUGACAUAUAUUUCCACUCACUCAAAAUUCGGACAAUUCCAGAAAAAUCUGAGCUCCUUGUGUGUAUAUAGACGUUCAUAUUUAUAUUUCUACUUUGUUAAGCCAGUAGUUUUCAAAGUGUGGUCCCCGGGCCAGCAGCAUCCGUAUCAUCUGGGAACUUGGGAGAAGUGCAAAUUCGUGGUCUUAUGCUUGACUUACUGAAAGUCUGGGAUGAGACCCAGAAAUCUGUGUUCCUUUUUUUUGGAGGAAGUUUAGCCCUGAGCUAACAUCUGCUGCCAAUCCUCCUCUUUUUGCUGAGGAAGACUGGCCCUGAGCUAACAUCGUGCCCAUCUUCCUCUACUUUACAUGUGGGACGCCUACCACAGCAUGGCUUGCCAAGCGGUGCCAUGUCUGCACCCGGGAUCCGAACUGGCAAACCCCGGGCCGCCAAAGUGGAACAUGUGAACUUAACCGCUGCACCACCAGGCCGGCCCCAGAAAUCUGUGUCUUAACAAGUCCUCCUCCAGGCUGGAGCUGGAUGAAGACCCCCUAUUUGAUAGAGAUGGCCAAAACAGAAGGAGGAAGCUGGAGGGGGGACCUCUGGGUUGUGGAGCCAUCUUUAGUCACCAGGAAGGGACCGGGAGAACCAGGAUUGAAGGAACAGCCUGCUUCACGCGCGCCUCGGGAGAACAGAUGCAAGCCACUGGCCCUUUGCAGGGAAUAAAUGCAAUAUGGGGCUUCAACUCUAAAGAAGCUCCUUGCAUCCUCUUGGUGGCACCACUGUUGUCACCAAGCAGCUGCUGGUUUGCUAGGGAGGGGACACCUAUGUGGAAGUUUCGGUAAUUGUUUUCAAAUGUCAAUGUCAAGGAUUUUUUUUUCUUUUUGUAGUAAUACAGAUAAAGAAGGAUUGAACCAGUCCUUUCUCAGAAUUUGGUCCAGCUGGUCAGAA
rnacentral:lncRNA from 1 species